UAAGUUAGAAAGGGCGCACGGUGGAUGCCUUGACACUAGGAGUCGAUGAAGGACGGGACUAACGCCGAUAUGCUUCGGGGAGCUGUAAGUAAGCUUUGAUCCGAAGAUUUCCGAAUGGGGAAACCCACCAUACGUAAUGGUAUGGUAUCCUUAUCUGAAUACAUAGGGUAAGGAAGACAGACCCAGGGAACUGAAACAUCUAAGUACCUGGAGGAAGAGAAAGCAAAUGCGAUUUCCUGAGUAGCGGCGAGCGAAACGGAACAUAGCCCAAACCAAGAGGCUUGCCUCUUGGGGUUGUAGGACAUUCUAUACGGAGUUACAAAGGAACGAGGUAGACGAAGCGACCUGGAAAGGUCCGUCGUAGAGGGUAACAACCCCGUAGUCGAAACUUCGUUCUCUCUUGAAUGUAUCCUGAGUACGGCGGAACACGUGAAAUUCCGUCGGAAUCUGGGAGGACCAUCUCCCAAGGCUAAAUACUCCCUAGUGAUCGAUAGUGAACCAGUACCGUGAGGGAAAGGUGAAAAGCACCCCGGAAGGGGAGUGAAAGAGAUCCUGAAACCGUGUGCCUACAAAUAGUCAGAGCCCGUUAAUGGGUGAUGGCGUGCCUUUUGUAGAAUGAACCGGCGAGUUACGAUCCCGUGCGAGGUUAAGCUGAAGAGGCGGAGCCGCAGCGAAAGCGAGUCUGAAUAGGGCGUUUAGUACGUGGUCGUAGACCCGAAACCAGGUGAUCUACCCAUGUCCAGGGUGAAGUUCAGGUAACACUGAAUGGAGGCCCGAACCCACGCACGUUGAAAAGUGCGGGGAUGAGGUGUGGGUAGCGGAGAAAUUCCAAUCGAACCUGGAGAUAGCUGGUUCUCCCCGAAAUAGCUUUAGGGCUAGCCUUAAGUGUAAGAGUCUUGGAGGUAGAGCACUGAUUGGACUAGGGGUCCUCAUCGGAUUACCGAAUUCAGUCAAACUCCGAAUGCCAAUGACUUAUCCUUAGGAGUCAGACUGCGAGUGAUAAGAUCCGUAGUCAAAAGGGAAACAGCCCAGACCGCCAGCUAAGGUCCCAAAGUGUGUAUUAAGUGGAAAAGGAUGUGGAGUUGCUUAGACAACUAGGAUGUUGGCUUAGAAGCAGCCACCAUUUAAAGAGUGCGUAAUAGCUCACUAGUCGAGUGACUCUGCGCCGAAAAUGUACCGGGGCUAAAUACACCACCGAAGCUGCGGAUUGAUACCAAUGGUAUCAGUGGUAGGGGAGCGUUCUAAGGACAGUGAAGUCAGACCGGAAGGACUGGUGGAGUGCUUAGAAGUGAGAAUGCCGGUAUGAGUAGCGAAAGACGGGUGAGAAUCCCGUCCACCGAAUGCCUAAGGUUUCCUGAGGAAGGCUCGUCCGCUCAGGGUUAGUCAGGACCUAAGCCGAGGCCGACAGGCGUAGGCGAUGGACAACAGGUUGAUAUUCCUGUACCACCUCUUUAUCGUUUGAGCAAUGGAGGGACGCAGAAGGAUAGAAGAAGCGUGCGAUUGGUUGUGCACGUCCAAGCAGUUAGGCUGAUAAGUAGGCAAAUCCGCUUAUCGUGAAGGCUGAGCUGUGAUGGGGAAGCUCCUUAUGGAGCGAAGUCUUUGAUUCCCCGCUGCCAAGAAAAGCUUCUAGCGAGAUAAAAGGUGCCUGUACCGCAAACCGACACAGGUAGGCGAGGAGAGAAUCCUAAGGUGUGCGAGAGAACUCUGGUUAAGGAACUCGGCAAAAUGACCCCGUAACUUCGGGAGAAGGGGUGCUUUCUUAACGGAAAGCCGCAGUGAAUAGGCCCAAGCGACUGUUUAGCAAAAACACAGCUCUCUGCGAAGCCGUAAGGCGAAGUAUAGGGGGUGACACCUGCCCGGUGCUGGAAGGUUAAGGAGAGGGGUUAGCGUAAGCGAAGCUCUGAACUGAAGCCCCAGUAAACGGCGGCCGUAACUAUAACGGUCCUAAGGUAGCGAAAUUCCUUGUCGGGUAAGUUCCGACCCGCACGAAAGGUGUAACGAUUUGGGCACUGUCUCAACCAGAGACUCGGUGAAAUUAUAGUACCUGUGAAGAUGCAGGGUACCCGCGACAGGACGGAAAGACCCCGUGGAGCUUUACUGUAGCCUGAUAUUGAAUUUUGGUACAGUUUGUACAGGAUAGGCGGGAGCCUUUGAAACCGGAGCGCUAGCUUCGGUGGAGGCGCUGGUGGGAUACCGCCCUGACUGUAUUGAAAUUCUAACCUACGGGUCUUAUCGACCCGGGAGACAGUGUCAGGUGGGCAGUUUGACUGGGGCGGUCGCCUCCUAAAGUGUAACGGAGGCGCCCAAAGGUUCCCUCAGAAUGGUUGGAAAUCAUUCGUAGAGUGCAAAGGCAUAAGGGAGCUUGACUGCGAGACCUACAAGUCGAGCAGGGACGAAAGUCGGGCUUAGUGAUCCGGUGGUUCCGCAUGGAAGGGCCAUCGCUCAACGGAUAAAAGCUACCCCGGGGAUAACAGGCUUAUCUCCCCCAAGAGUCCACAUCGACGGGGAGGUUUGGCACCUCGAUGUCGGCUCAUCGCAUCCUGGGGCUGUAGUCGGUCCCAAGGGUUGGGCUGUUCGCCCAUUAAAGCGGUACGCGAGCUGGGUUCAGAACGUCGUGAGACAGUUCGGUCCCUAUCCGUCGUGGGCGUAGGAAAUUUGAGAGGAGCUGUCCUUAGUACGAGAGGACCGGGAUGGACGCACCGCUGGUGUACCAGUUGUUCUGCCAAGGGCAUAGCUGGGUAGCUAUGUGCGGAAGGGAUAAGUGCUGAAAGCAUCUAAGCAUGAAGCCCCCUCAAGAUGAGAUUUCCCAUAGCGUAAGCUAGUAAGAUCCCUGAAAGAUGAUCAGGUUGAUAGGUUCGAGGUGGAAGCAUGGUGACAUGUGGAGCUGACGAAUACUAAUAGAUCGAGGACUUAACCA
rnacentral:rRNA from 1 species